rnacentral:rRNA from 1 species
GACGAACGCUGGCGGCGUGCUUAACACAUGCAAGUCGAACGGUAAGGCCCUUCGGGGUACACGAGUGGCGAACGGGUGAGUAACACGUGGGUGAUCUGCCCUGCACUUCGGGAUAAGCCUGGGAAACUGGGUCUAAUACCGGAUAGGACCACUGCCUGCAUGGGUGGUGGUGGAAAGCUUUUGCGGUGUGGGAUGGGCCCGCGGCCUAUCAGCUUGUUGGUGGGGUGAUGGCCUACCAAGGCGACGACGGGUAGCCGGCCUGAGAGGGUGACCGGCCACACGGGGACUGAGAUACGGCCCAGACUCCUACGGGAGGGAGCAGUGGGGAAGAUUGCACAAUGGGCGCAAGCCUGAUGCAGCGACGCCGCGUGAGGGAUGACGGCCUUCGGGUUGUAAACCUCUUUCAGCACCGACGAAGCGCAAGUGACGGUAGGUGCAGAAGAAGGACCGGCCAACUACGUGCCAGCCGCCGCCGUAA